rnacentral:rRNA from 1 species
AUCGACUAGCCAUGCGAGUCGAGAGGGUUCGGCCCUCGGCAGACUGCUCAGUAACACGUGGAUAACCUAACCUUAGGUGGAAGAUAACCUCGGGAAACUGAGAAUAAUAUUCCAUAGAUCUAGGAUGCUGGAAUGCAUCUAGAUUGAAAGUUCCGACGCCUAAGGAUGGGUCUGCGGACUAUCAGGUUGUAGUCAGGGUAAAGACCUGACUAGCCUACGACGGAUAUGGGUUGUGAGAGCAAUAGCCCAGAGACGAUAUCUGAGACACGAUAUCGGGCCCUACGGGGCGCAGCAGGCGCGAAAUCUUCACAAUGUGCGAAAGCACGAUGAGGGGAUCCCAAGUGCUGGCACGUAAGUGUCAGCUGUUUCUUAGUCUAAAAACUGAGAGAGUAAGGGCUGGGUAAGACGGGUGCCAGCCGCCGCGGUAAUACCUGCAGCUCAAGUGGUGGCCACUAUUAUUGGGCCUAAAACGUCCGUAGCCUGUUUAGUAAAUGCUUGGGUAAAUUGUGUAGCUUAACUAUACGAAUACCGGGUAGACUGCUAAACUUGGGACCGGGAGAGGCUAGAGGUACUCCUGGGGUAGAGGUGAAAUUCUGUAAUCCUAGGGGGACCACCAGUGGCGAAGGCGUCUAGCUAGAACGGGUCUGACGGUGAGGGACGAAGCCCUGGGGCGCAAACCGGAUUAGAUACCCGGGUAGUCCAGGGUGUAACGCUGCUUGCUUGAUGUUAGUUGGGCUCCNANCCCACUAGUGUCGGAAAGANGUGUUAAGCAAGCUGCCUGGGAAGUACGGUCGCAAGACUGAAACUUAAGGAUUGGCGGGGGACCCA